GUAUCCAUGGUGUGGAAAAUGUAAUAAAAGUGAUUUGAAGCGAUCUCAUGUUUCAUGAAAAAAUUCAAUAUCCUUUUGAUAAAAAUUAGAAAUUUCAGCUCUUAAUUC
rfam:Ricinus communis cultivar Hale ctg_1100012357525, whole genome shotgun sequence.